UUAGAUAUCAAACUAAUUAACUUACUGGGAGAGCAAAUCUCUUUCUUGGUCUGUGGGGAGUAGCUACAUUGAAGGAUGCUGGGCUUAGGUAUUUGGUGAGAAGGUUAUUGGAGGCAUAAUUGAAUCACAUCCAGAGAGCUCCUGUCUCAGAGGGGUCUAAUCAAGGAUUCUGAUGAUGUGUCCAAUCUGCUGAACCCUACAUUUUUCAUUUUUGCUGAAAAGAUGACUUCAUUCCCCUUCAUCAAGUCACCUUACUGGAGCAGAAGCUAAAGCAAAAUUGUAAAGUUGAUUAUCAGGUUAAAAUUUAUCCUGGACAAACUCAUGGUUUUGUACAUCACAGAAGAGAAGAUAUCAAUCCUAAGGAUAAGACUUAUAUUGAGGAAGGAAGAAAGGAUAUGAUCAACUGGUUGAAUAAAUAUAUUUAAUAGGAGAGCAAAAAAUUAAAUUAUAACAUAAUCAUGUAACAUACUGUAGAGAUUUUUGAUAACACAUUUUAGAAAAUUAGGAGGGAGAGCUUGUUGAAAAAAGCAAACAAUAUUUUAGAUUUUUUUUUUUUUUUUUGGUCAGUAGAUUCUAACUCAAUUUCAUGCUAUAUUCUUUUGAGGCAGUUUCAGAUGUCACUUAGCAGUGUUGUGUCUUAAUAUGCUGUGAAAUAUUUUCCAGUUCCUUGGGUUUUAGUUUUAACACUUGAAAUAAGUUGUACUAAUGGUAGAAUAAUGUUUGCAUGCUAUGGCCACUGUUCAUCUAAGUACCAUGUAAAUCACAUGCCCAAAAUUUAGGGACACAAACGGUUUGUUUGGUGGAACUCAUUCUGAGACACUAGGAUUCUUUAGCUGGUACCCUGGUGGCAGGUAUUUAUUUAACAAGUGACAUUAGUGUGCAAGUCUUGUUUCAAAAUUUGGAGUCUCAGGUUAUUCAGAUUGAGUACUUCUUUCUCACAUUACCUCUGGUCCUGUGAUAUGCUAUAGACAAUUUCCUGAUCAGUUUCAGAAAUCAAAAGUAUAAUACAAAUGGCAAACAGGGCAUUAUUUUGUGGUCUGCAAACCAUGGUUACUGC